rnacentral:rRNA from 1 species
UAGGAUAGAGGCCUACCAUGGUGGUAACGGGUAACGGGGUGUUAGGGCACGACACCGGAGAGGGAGCCUGAGAAACGGCUACCACAUCCAAGGAUGGCAGCAGGCGCGCAAAUUACCCAAUCCCGACACGGGGAGGUAGUGACAAUAAAUAACAAUACGGGGUUCUUUAGGAUCUCGUAAUUGGAAUGAGUACAAUUUAAAUCUCUUAACGAGGAACAAUUGGAGGGCAAGUCUGGUGCCAGCAGCCGCGGUAAUUCCAGCUCCAAUAGCGUAUAUUAAAGUUGUUGCAGUUAAAAAGCUCGUAGUUGAAUUUCGGGGUUAGUAGGUUGGUCAUGCCUCUGGUAUGUACUGGUCUCACUGAUUCCUCCUUCCUUAUGAACCGUAAUGCCAUUAAUUUGGUGUUGCGGGGAAUUUGGACUGUUACUUUGAAAAAAUUAGAGUGUUUAAAGCAAGCUAACGCUUGAAUACGUUAGCAUGGAAUAAUGAAAUAGGACGUUCGAUCUUAUUUUGUUGGUUUCUAGGAUUGACGUAAUGAUUAAUAGGGAUAGUUGGGGGCAUUAGUAUUCAAUUGUCAGAGGUGAAAUUCUUGGAUUUAUUGAAGACUAACUACUGCGAAAGCAUUUGCCAAGGAUGUUUUCAUUAAUCAAGAACGAAAGUUAGGGGAUCGAAGACGAUCAGAUACCGUCGUAGUCUUAACCAUAAACUAUGCCGACUAGGGAUCGGAUGA